UACGUAGGGUGCGAGCGUUGCCCGGAAUUACUGGGCGUAAAGAGCUCGUAGGUGGUUUGUCGCGUUGUUCGUGAAAACCGGGGGCUUAACCCUCGGCGUGCGGGCGAUACGGGCAGACUUGAGUACUGCAGGGGAGACUGGAAUUCCUGGUGUAGCGGUGGAAUGCGCAGAUAUCAGGAGGAACACCGGUGGCGAAGGCGGGUCUCUGGGCAGUAACUGACGCUGAGGAGCGAAAGCGUGGGGAGCGAACAGG
rnacentral:rRNA from 1 species